AUAGGCACCCAGACGACUAUAGCUCAUGAUUAUUAUUAUUUAUAAGGCGCCUACAAAUUCCGUAGCACUGUACAAUGGGUAGACUAACAGACACGUAUUAAACCUGAUGAGUUUGACACACAGCAACAGAGGGAUUGAGGGCCCUGCUCAAUGAGCUUACAUGUUAGAGGGAGUGGGGUGUAGUGACACAGUAACAGAGGGAUUGAGGACCCUACUCAGUGAGCUUACAUGCUAGAGGGAGUGGGGAAAAG